CUCUCUUAUACAUAUCACUUUGUCUCAGCGGCUCAGAACCAGAUCGGAACCGGCGGCUUCAGCUUCUUCAUCGCUCAGUAGCUCUUGCUCUCUCUUUCUCUCUGCGCGCGCGGCUGCUCUGAAGACUGAAACCAGAUCUUUCCGAACCAAAAGAAAACCCCCAAAGCCUUCUCUCUCAGCCUCUCUCACAUCUAGCCCUAAAUCGCUCUUCGUUGGGUGGAGAAAUAGAAGAGGUUGUAUAAGCUAGAGAGUUGUUGGAAAUGACUGCUGAAGCUUUGCAAGUUGCUAAGGCAUACCGCCACCUUCUCAAAGCUGUCAAGAACCACGUUUCCAAAGAAGACACUAAGCGGCAUUUCAGAGAUUAUGUAACUGAAGAAUUUAGAUUCACAUGAAAAACCCAGUCCAGACUAUCUGCUGCAACAAUAGAUUCUCUCAAGUUGUUUUGGAUAUGACUAUCUGACUAUCAUGAGGCUGGGUCAGAUCUGGCACUUACAAGCGAGGUAUCUGAUAUUAUGUUCUUGCUUAUGUGAACCUGGGAAGAAGUUCUCAGAUACUAUGGAGUUUCCUACCUAAUUGAUUUUUUCCUGUGGUUUUCUUUGAAAUUUGCAGGUAUUUGAGCAAUUAUGGUUCCAGGGUAGUGGUAAACAAUUCUGGUGUGGAAGAAAACAAGGAAAAGACAGUGGUUAUCUAAAGCUUGACUUGUACGAGAAUUCUGUUAUCUAAAGUUGGGUUACUGCAUAUUUACCUUGCUAGCAAUCUAAUUUCAUGGUAUAAUUUCUUCAUUUUGUUUCUGUUUUUACUAGCCUUUCUGUUUAUACUUUUGAAGUAUGUCAUUAGUUAUAAUAUCAGUUGUUAGGGAUUCUGCUUAGUGCUUAUUUACUUGGGGUACAUGCCAUGGAUAAUUGUGUCAUUUGUUUAUUUUUGGAUUUCAUAGUGGAAUGGAUGCUAAGGGUUACUACUUUUUCUUUUCAUUUACAAAUGCAUUAGAGUUAUCUGUUUUGUUCUUGUUCGUUAUUGUCUUCGCUAUUGUGAUGUGAGAUCAAUAUAUUCUAAGCUGCAGCAUAACAGAAUGUUUGCUAUAGUCUCUACCUAAUUUCAUUUUUCCUGCAGCUUUGUUGUUGGUUGGGAAUUGCAGGGAUCAGCUGUGUAUAAGUUCAAGGCCUAUUGGCAAUGACGUAAUUAGCAUUUAUUUGGGAACAAUCUUCUUGCAAGGAAAGGAGAGGGCUGGAAAUCCUGAGACAUUGAGUCUAAAGCUAGGAAGUGACAUUAUUUUAACUGAAAAGGUUCAACCCUGCGGUGGUAUUUGGAGUGACAACUGCUCUUUGAAAAUGGGAAGAAGACGCCCCUUCAUACUUGCAGGAUCUCUCAUUAUCUCUGUUGCCAUAAGUCAAUCAUUGCAAUUCUAGAGCUGCGUGCUAGGUGGGGGAACAGGAACUCAGCUAGCUUGCAUGAAUUUUGUUUUUUGGGGAAUUGCAGGUAACCCUUAUCUUUUUCAUGUGUUGGAUGUCUAUGUGUCCUCAGUCCUACAAUUGUUUCAAGUGAUACAUUAUUGCCAAUAUUUGUUAGCAUCUGUUUGCCCGUUGCUGUUGUUCACAUAUAUAUACCUUUAUUAAUUUAUCAAUGAUGAAUAUACAUACUAGUAUCAACUUGUAAAAGAAACACUAGCUUUGAUGACACUUGGUUUGAAAUUUCCUCUCAUACUGCCACUCUCUUUGUAAUAUGAUUAUAAAGAAUGG